rnacentral:snoRNA from 1 species
UUUUACAUGAUGAUUUCAUUAUUGCAAUUACCUAAUAUUUUAUUUUCUGGCAUCUCUAAUGUUAGAAUGGAAGUUUCAGUACAACUAUUCGAUGAAUACAACCAUUGACAUUUUUCUGACA